rnacentral:rRNA from 1 species
UACGAAGGGGCUAGCGUUGCUCGGAAUCACUGGGCGUAAAGGGUGCGUAGGCGGAUUGUUAAGUCAGGGGUGAAAUCCUGGAGCUCAACUCCAGAACUGCCUUUGAUACUGGCGAUCUUGAGUCCGGGAGAGGUGAGUGGAACUGCGAGUGUAGAGGUGAAAUUCGUAGAUAUUCGCAAGAACACCAGUGGCGAAGGCGGCUCACUGGCCCGAUACUGACGCUGAGGCACGAAAGCGUGGGGAGCAACAGGGAUUAAGAUGAACCCGGG